rnacentral:rRNA from 1 species
CCGGGUGAGUAACACGUGGGUAAUCUACCUCUGGGUGGGGAAUAACGUCUCGAAAGAGACGCUAAUACCGCAUAAUGCAGCGGCACCUAAUGGUGAAUAGUUGUUAAAGCGGGGGAUCGCAAGACCUCGCGCCUGAAGAGGAGCCUGCGGCAGAUUAGCUAGUUGGUGAGGUAAUGGCUCACCAAGGCUGCGAUCUGUAGCUGGUCUGAGAGGACGGCCAGCCACACUGGCACUGACACACGGGCCAGACUCCUACGGGAGGCAGCAGUGGGGAAUUUUGGGCAAUGGGCGAAAGCCUGACCCAGCAACGCCGCGUGAGGGAGGAAAUCCUUCGGGAUGUAAACCUCGCAAGCAAGGGAAGAAUGCUUCAGACCUAACACGUCUGAAGAGGGACGGUACCUUGCGUAAGCCACGGCUAACUACGUGCCAGCAGCCGCGGUAAUACGUAGGUGGCAAGCGUUGUUCGGAAUUAUUGGGCGUAAAGGGCGCGUAGGCGGUUUGUUAAGUCGGUUGUGAAAGCCCGGGGCUCAACCCCGGAGGGUCGACCGAUACUGGCAGGCUAGAGUACAGAAGAGGUAGCUGGAAUUCC